rnacentral:rRNA from 1 species
AUACGUAGGGGGCAAGCGUUGUCCGGAAUUACUGGGCGUAAAGAGUACGUAGGCGGUUUGUUAAGUUAGAUGUGAAAGUUUGCAGCUCAACUGUAAAAGUGCAUUUAAAACUGGCAGACUUGAGUCUCGGAGAGGUAAGCGGAAUUCCUAGUGUAGCGGUGAAAUGCGUAGAGAUUAGGAAGAACACCGGUGGCGAAGGCGGCUUACUGGACGAGUACUGACGCUCAGGUACGAAAGCGUGGGGAGC